rnacentral:rRNA from 1 species
GACAGAGGCCUCGAGCGUUAGGCGGAAUCACUGGGCUUAAAGCGUGUGUAGGCGGAAGCGUAAGUACCUUGUGAAAUCCCACGGCUCAACCGUGGAACUGCUGGGUAUACUGCGUUUCUUGAGCCAUUUAGGGGCGAAGUGGAACGGAUGGUGGAGCGGUGAAAUGCAUAGAUAUCAUCCGGAACGCCUGUGGUGAAGACGACUCGCUGGGAAUGUGCUGACGCUGGAGACACGAAAGCCAGGGGAGCAAACGGG